rnacentral:rRNA from 1 species
UACGUAGGGCGCAAGCGUUGUCCGGAAUUAUUGGGCGUAAAGAGCUCGUAGGCGGCUCGUCGCGUCGACCGUGAAAUCCCGCAGCUUAACUGCGGGCUUGCGGUUGAUACGGGCGGGCUAGAGUUCGGUAGGGGAGACUGGAAUUCCUGGUGUAGCGGUGAAAUGCGCAGAUAUCAGGAGGAACACCGGUGGCGAAGGCGGGUCUCUGGGCCGAUACUGACGCUGAGGAGCGAAAGCGUGGGGAGCGAACAGG